rnacentral:rRNA from 1 species
UGGGCAACCUGCCCCUCUCUCUGGGAUAACCCCGGGAAACCGGGGCUAAUACCGGAUACUCCGGCUGGAUCGCAUGGUCCGGCCGGGAAAGGUCCGCCGGAGAGGGAUGGGCCCGCGGCCUAUCAGCUUGUUGGUGGGGUUAAGGCCUACCAAGGCGACGACGGGUAGCCGGGCCUGAGAGGGUGUCCGGCCACACUGGGACUGAGAUACGGCCCAGACUCCUACGGGAGGCA